rfam:Rattus norvegicus chromosome 13, whole genome shotgun sequence.
GGGGAUUUAGCUCAGUGGUAGAGCGCUUGCCUAGCAAGCGCAAGGCCCUGGGUUCAGUCCCCAGCCCCG